rnacentral:rRNA from 1 species
AAGUUCCUACGGGAGGCAGCAGUGGGGAAUAUUGCACAAUGGGGGAAACCCUGAUGCAGCAACGCCGCGUGAGUGAAGAAGUAAUUCGGUAUGUAAAGCUCUAUCAGCAGGGAAGAAAAUGACGGUACCUGAGUAAGAAGCCCCGGCUAACUACGUGCCAGCAGCCGCGGUAAUACGUAGGGGGCAAGCGUUACCCGGAUUUACUGGGUGUAAAGGGAGCGUAGACGGCGAUGCAAGUCUGAAGUGAAAGCCCGGGGCUCAACCCCGGGACUGCUUUGGAAACUACCGAACUAGAGUGUCGGAGG